rnacentral:rRNA from 1 species
UACGAAGGGUGCAAGCGUUACUCGGAAUUACUGGGCGUAAAGCGUGCGUAGGUGGUUCGUUAAGUCUGAUGUGAAAGCCCUGGGCUCAACCUGGGAAUGGCAUUGGAAACUGGCGACCUAGAGUGCGGUAGAGGGUAGUGGAAUUCCCGGUGUAGCAGUGAAAUGCGUAGAGAUCGAGAGGAACACCAGUGGCGAAGGCGAGUCCCUGGACAACUCCUGACACUGAGGCACGAAAGCUAGGGGAGCAAACAGG